rnacentral:rRNA from 1 species
GGCGGCGUGCCUAAUACAUGCAAGUCGAACGCACUUCUUCUCACCGGAGCUUGCUCCACCGAGAAGAAGUGAGUGGCGGACGGGUGAGUAACACGUGGGCAACCUGCCCAUCAGAGGGGGAUAACACUUGGAAACAGGUGCUAAUACCGCAUAAUUGCUUUUGCCGCAUGGCGAAAGCAUAAAAGACGCUUCGGUGUCACUGGUGGAUGGGCCCGCGGUGCAUUAGUUAGUUGGUGGGGUAAUGGCCUACCAAGACCAUGAUGCAUAGCCGACCUGAGAGGGUGAUCGGCCACACUGGGACUGAGACACGGCCCAGACUCCUACGGGAGGCAGCAGUCGGGAAUCUUCGGCAAUGGACGAAAGUCUGACCGAGCAACGCCGCGUGAGUGAAGAAGGUUUUCGGAUCGUAAAACUCUGUUGUUAGAGAAGAACAAGUGAUAGAGUAACUGUUAUCACCUUGACGGUAUCUAACCAGAAAGCCACGGCUAACUACGUGCCAGCAGCCGCGGUAAUA